rnacentral:rRNA from 1 species
GACGUAGGUGGCGAACGUUAUCCGGAAUUAUUGGGCGUAAAGGGUGCGUAGAUGGCUUGAUAAGUUAGCAGUGGGAAAUCGAGGCUCAACCUCGUGGAAGCUGGUAAUACUGUCAGGCUCGAGUGCAGGAGAGGUUAACGGAACUCCAUGUGGAGCGGUAAAAUGUGUAGAUAUAUGGAAGAACACCAAUAACGGCGAAGGCAGUUAAUCUAUUCUGUUACUGACAUUGAGGCACGAAAGCGUGGGGAGCAAAACGG